UCUUGGUCAUUUAGAGGAAGUAAAAGUCGUAACAAGGUUUCCGUAGGUGAACCUGCGGAAGGAUCAUUAAUGAUUUCGAAUCGUCGCCUUUGGUGCUGGCUCUCGCGAGCAAGUGCACAUCGGUGGCUUUCAUCCACUUCUACCCUUGUGCACCUUUGGCCUCUUGCUUGCUUCGGCUUGCAGAGGAUUUUUUACACACACACUCGAAUGUAAUGAUAAACGUUUGUCGUGCGCAAGCACUAAUGUACAACUUUCAACAACGGAUCUCUUGGCUCUCGCAUCGAUGAAGAACGCAGCGAAAUGCGAUAAGUAAUGUGAAUUGCAGAAUUCAGUGAAUCAUCGAAUCUUUGAACGCACCUUGCACCCUUUGGAAUUCCGAAGGGUAUGCUCGUUUGAGUGUCAUUGUACUCUCACACUCUCCGAUCCCUUGGGUUCGGGGAGCGGUGGACUUGGGUGUUUGCUGCUUUUCCUGGUGGCUCACCUCAAAUGCAUCAGUGCACCUCUUGGUUGGACAUAGUACGGCGUGAUAAGUAUCUUCGCCGGCACCUCGCAAGAGGGUGGCCGAUCGAGAGCUCUGUGCUCUCUAACCGUCUUCGGACAAAUUGUCUGACAACUUGACCUCAAAUCGAGUAGGACUACCCGCUGAACUUAAGCAUAUCAAUAAG
rnacentral:rRNA from 1 species